UACGAAAGGUCCAAGCGUUACUCGGAAUUACUGGGCGUAAAGGGCGCGUAGGCGGCCUGCUAAGUCGGACGUGAAAUCCCUCGGCUCAACCGGGGAACUGCGUCCGAUACUGGCGAGGCUUGAAUCCGGGAGAGGGAUGUGGAAUUCCAGGUGUAGCGGUGAAAUGCGUAGAUAUCGGGAGGAACACCAGUGGCGAAGGCGACUACCUGGCCUGUUCUUGACGCUGAGGCGCGAAAGCUAGGGGAGCAAACGGG
rnacentral:rRNA from 1 species